rnacentral:rRNA from 1 species
UACGUAGGGUGCAAGCGUUGUCCGGAAUUAUUGGGCGUAAAGAGCUCGUAGGCGGUUUGUCGCGUCUGCUGUGAAAACUCGGGGCUUAACUCCGGGCCUGCAGUGGGUACGGGCAGACUAGAGUGCGGUAGGGGAGACUGGAAUUCCUGGUGUAGCGGUGAAAUGCGCAGAUAUCAGGAGGAACACCGAUGGCGAAGGCAGGUCUCUGGGCAUUAACUGACGCUGAGGAGCGAAAGCGUGGGGAGCGAACAGG